rnacentral:rRNA from 1 species
AUUGAACGCUGGCGGCAUGCUUUACACAUGCAAGUCGAACGGUAACAGGCCGCAAGGUGCUGACGAGUGGCGAACGGGUGAGUAAUGCAUCGGAACGUGCCCAGUCGUGGGGGAUAACGCAGCGAAAGUUGCGCUAAUACCGCAUACGAUCUAUGGAUGAAAGCGGGGGACCGUAAGGCCUCGCGCGAUUGGAGCGGCCGAUGUCAGAUUAGGUAGUUGGUGGGGUAAAGGCUCACCAAGCCGACGAUCUGUAGCUGGUCUGAGAGGACGACCAGCCACACUGGGACUGAGACACGGCCCAGACUCCUACGGGAGGCAGCAGUGGGGAAUUUUGGACAAUGGGCUCAAGCCUGAUCCAGCAAUUCCGCGUGCAGGAAGAAGGCCUUCGGGUUGUAAACUGCUUUUGUACGGAACGAAACGGUCCUGGUUAAUACCUGGGGCUAAUGACGGUACCGUAAGAAUAAGCACCGGCUAACUACGUGCCAGCCGCCGCUGUAAGAC